rnacentral:tRNA from 1 species
GGGCGCGUAGCUCAGCGGUAGAGCAACUGACUUUUAAUCAGUAGGUCUCGGGUUCGAUCCCCGACGCGCUCACCA